UUUUGUAACGGCCCCGUAAAUAUUAAAAUGAAAUGAGUAUUUAAAUAUAUCAAAUGCGGAAGCGAGAUCAAAAUUUCAGUUAACAUCCCUUACACGAAAAACCAGAAACGUACUUAAAAUAUAAAAGAUUAAACUAACUAAGAGAGAAACUCGAAAAUAAAACUAUGAGUAUGACUACAGAGUCUCUAGGUAUCCCCUUCGUCGUCC
rnacentral:lncRNA from 1 species